rnacentral:rRNA from 1 species
UACGAAGGGGGCUAGCGUUGUUCGGAAUUACUGGGCGUAAAGCGCACGUAGGCGGACCUUUAAGUUGGAGGUGAAAGCCUUGGGCUCAACCCAAGAAUUGCCUUUGAUACUGGAUGUCUCGAGACCGGGAGAGGUGAGUGGAAUUCCGAGUGUAGAGGUGAAAUUCGUAGAUAUUCGGAAGAACACCAGUGGCGAAGGCGGCUCACUGGCCCGGUUCUGACGCUGAGGUGCGAAAGCGUGGGGAGCAAACAGG